AAUGGCCGCAGUAUCUUGACUGUGCAAAGGUAGCAUAAUCAUUAGUUUCUUAAUUAGGAACUGGAAUGAAAGGUUGGACGAGAAAAUAACUGUCUCUUUAUAAAUUUUUUAGAAUUUUAUAUUUAAGUUAAAAAGCUUAAAUUUAUUUAAAAGACGAGAAGACCCUAUAGAGUUUUAUAAUUUUUUUAUUAAUAAUUUAUGUAGAAUUAUAUUAAUUUUAAUUUAAGUAUUAUUUAAUUGGGGUGAUUAAAAAAUGUAAAAAACUUUUUUUUUAUUAAACCAUAUAUUUAUGAUUUAUUGAUCCAUAUUUAAUGAUUAUAAGAUUAAAUUACCUUAGGGAUAACAGCGUAAUUUCUUUUAAGAGUUCUAAUCGAUAAAGAAGUUUGCGACCUCGAUGUUGGAUUAAAAUUAAUUUUUGGUGUAGAAGCUAAAAUAUUUGGUCUGUUCGACCUUUAAAAUUUUACAUGAUCUGAGUUUAAACCGGUGUAAGCCAGGUUGGUUUCUAUCUUUAAAAUUAUUAAAUAUUUUAGUACGAAAGGACCAAAUAUUUGUAAUAUUUAUUUUUUAUGAAUAUUAGUAAUUAU
rnacentral:rRNA from 1 species